GACGAACCGUCCAAACGUUAUUCGGAAUCACUGGGCUUACAGAGUUCGUAGGCGGUCUGGAAAGUUGGGUGUGAAAUCCCUCGGCCUAACCGAGGAACUGCGCUUGAAACUACCAGACUCGAGGGAGAUAGAGGAAAGCGGAACUGAUGGUGGAGCGGUGAAAUGCGUUGAUAUCAUCAGGAACACCGGAGGCGAAGGCGGCUCACUGGGGAUUUUCUGACGCUGAGGAACGAAAGCCAGGGGAGCGAACGGG
rnacentral:rRNA from 1 species